UGCAGAGGACAGCAGACACAUGUUAGAUAUUGGUUGUGUAGUGGAAAUGCUGAGACACAGCUUGGACCUGUGAUGGAGCACCUGGUGGGAAGGCAGGGCCAGUCCAGGGGAGCUCAGGUGGAAGCAGUGUACCUGAUUGAUGGAAGGGGUGGAGCCAGGAUGCACCCCUUCCCAGACCUCAUUUAAGGGUUGGCAGUGGAGGUGAAGGUAUUUCAGUGGAGAUUCCUGGGUACCUGAGGCCUUCUAAGGGGAAGGAGGUGGAAGUGCUCCUGGCUGCAGGGAAGCAUGCUGAAGUUGAUGGCGUGGUCAGGUGCAGCAGUGGCAGAGCUUAGCAGAAGCGUUCACCACAGCUGGAAGCACUGCAGUGACUACUGAAGGAAUUAUGCCUUAAGUGGAGUGUGAAGCAGAAAUCCCACUGUGCUGUUCUCCAAAGUCGGUUGCAGCAAAUGGGCCGCGUGUUUCCUGUGCCAGGAUAUGCAUCACUGUGCUGGGAUGGAUCCCUGUGCCUGCUGACCUCCUCUGCCUACAGCUGGGCUUGGUGGGAGGCAAAUGGAAAAGCAUCACAAAAUUCCUCUUGAAUCAUGGUCAAAACAGAGGCCUUAUUUCUUAAAUGAUUAAGUCAUGUCUUCAUUUUUGUUAUGUUCUUGGUAUGUGAAUACAGAAUUUGGAACUGCCUGCUCUCCACUUGUUUUUCCAUGUUGAAGACGUUCUAGCUCUGCUGGUGCUUUGUUCCACACACAGCCCUCUGCCCACUGCUGAGCGGCUGCUUUGUGUGGGAAACUGAGCUCUAGGACAGGACACCUGUGCAUCUGGUCUUACCCUCGUAGCACUGGUGCGUAGGAAAUAGGUCUGAAGUCAUUUAGCAGUCGCAGUGACUGACUCAACUUUACAUGUUUCCCUGUUGUUUGAAAAGACUUCUCUGCUAAUUUUGGUUUUUCCUAAAAGAACAUUUUAAAAUAGUCUUUAUCACAGAUAUGCACUUGUCUGCCCCAUGCAGGUCUUUCAGAAUACAGUCUUUUCACUUCUCUUUCUCCAAAGAAAGCAAGGCGGGACAAAACGUGCAGCAUGUGUAACUGAAUUGAUGGUGCACAGCCUGGUGGAAAAAGGGGAUCAUUUAGGAUAAGGAAAAAACCUCUUGAACAGAUCUCUGUCUUAAUGGAUUCGGAAGUUGCCUGUUUGCUUGUUAAUGUGGGUCUUUUGUAACUGCUAGCUCAGCUGCCUGUUCGGCUUUGUGAAGAGCCUUCCAUACUGUAGUUUUCAAAUACAGAACUAAAACCAUGCUGAGCUUUUCUUCUGCCCUGACAACAGCUUUUAUGUAUGUGCAGUGGCUGCCUUCCAUUUGCUAGCUUGUUCUUCAGCUCUGAGCAAAGCUGCGGAUGUGUUAAAAGCAGGCAAGGCAGCCCCGUGUCCUGGCAGCACCUCCACUUAACUGGGAGCAGC